rnacentral:rRNA from 1 species
GACGAACGCUGGCGGCGUGCCUAAUACAUGCAAGUCGAACGCAUUUUCUUUCACCGUAGUUUGCUACACCGACAGAAAAUGAGUGGCGAACGGGUGAGUAACAUGUGGGUAACCUGCCCAUCAGCGGGGGAUAACACUUGGAAACAGGUGCUAAUACCGCAUAAUUCCCUUUACCGCAUGGUAGAUGGCUGAUAGGCGCUUUUGCGUCACUGAUGGAUGGACUCGCGGUGCAUUAGCUAGUUGGUGGGGUAACGGCCUACCAAGGCUGCGAUGCAUAGCCGGCCUGAGAGGGUGGUCGGCCACACUGGGACUGAGACACGGCCCAGACUCCUACGGGAGGCAGCAGUAGGGAAUCUUCGGCAAUGGACGCAAGUCUGACCGAGCAACGCCGCGUGAGUGAAGAAGGUUUUCGGAUCGUAAAACUCUGUUGUUAGAGAAGAACAAGGAUGAGAGUGGAAAGUUCAUCCCUUGACGGUAUCUAACCAGAAAGCCAGGGCUAACUACGUG